UACGGAGGGUGCAAGCGUUGUCCGGAAUCACUGGGCGUAAAGGGCGCGUAGGCGGCUCGGUAAGUCGGGGGUGAAAUCCUGCGGCUCAACCGCAGGGCUGCCUUCUAAACUGUCGAGCUCGAGCACGGUAGAGGCAGAUGGAAUUCCCGGUGUAGCGGUGGAAUGCGUAGAGAUCGGGAAGAACAUCAGUGGCGAAGGCGGUCUGCUGGGCCGUUGCUGACGCUGAGGCGCGACAGCGUGGGGAGCAAACGGG
rnacentral:rRNA from 1 species